GAUGAACGCUGGCGGCGCGCCUAACACAUGCAAGUCGAACGGUUAAAGCACCUUUUAGGUGUGUAUAAAGUGGCGAACGGCUGAGUAACACGUGGGCAACCUGCCCUCCUCUUGGGGAUAGCCUCGGGAAACCGAGGAUAAUACCCGAUACUUCAAUGUGGCCGCAUGACGACAUUGAGAAAGCUUUUGCGGAGAAGGAUGGGCCCGCGGCCUGUUAGCUUGUUGGUGGGGUAGAGGCCUACCAAGGCAAUGAUGGGUAGCUGGGUUGAGAGACCGACCAGCCAGAUUGGGACUGAGACACGGCCCAGACUCCUACGGGAGGCAGCAGUGGGGAAUCUUGCACAAUGGGCGAAAGCCUGAUGCAGCGACGCCGCGUGCGGGAAGAAGGCCUUCGGGUUGUAAACCGCUUUCAGCAGGGACGA
rnacentral:rRNA from 2 species